rnacentral:rRNA from 1 species
AAGCGAAAUAAGUGAUAUAGAGCAAAACCCUAAAAACGGUACUCAGUUCGGAUUGAAGGCUGAAAUUCGCCUUCAUGAAGCUGGAAUUGCUAGUAAUGGCAGGUCAGCAUACUGCCGUGAAUACGUUCCCGGGCCUUGUACACACCGCCCGUCACACCAUGAGAGUUGGGAAUACCCGAAGCCUGUGAGCUAACUGUAAGGAGGCAGCAGUCGAAGGUAGAAUCAAUGAUUGGGGUGAAGUCGUAACAAGGUACC